rnacentral:rRNA from 1 species
UACGUAGGGUGCAAGCGUUUGUCCGGAAUUAUUGGGCGUAAAGAGCUCGUAGGCGGUUUGUCGCGUCGGCUGUGAAAACUCGGGGCUCAACCCCGAGCCUGCAGUCGAUACGGGGCAGACUAGAGUGCUGUAGGGGAGACUGGAAUUCCUGGUGUAGCGGUGGAAUGCGCAGAUAUCAGGAGGAACACCGAUGGCGAAGGCAGGUCUCUGGGCCGCAACUGACGCUGAGGAGCGAAAGCAUGGGGAGCGAACAGG